rnacentral:rRNA from 1 species
AACUUAAGGAAUUGACGGGGGCCCGCACAAGCGGAGGAGCAUGUGGUUUAAUUCGAUGAUACGCGAGGAACCUUACCUGGGCUCGAACGUAAGAUGACUGUAGGUGAAAGCUUACAUCUCUUCGGAGCAUUUUACGAGGUGCUGCAUGGUUGUCGUCAGCUCGUGCCGUGAGGUGUCGGGUUAAGUCCCGCAACGAGCGCAACCCUUGCCUUUAGUUGCCAGCAGUUCGGCUGGGCACUCUAAAGGGACUGCCGGUGUUAAACCGGAGGAAGGUGGGGAUGACGUCAAGUCCUCAUGGCCUUUAUGACCAGGGCUACACACGUACUACAAUGGCCGAUACAAAGGGCAGCGACACUGCGAGGUGAAGCCAAUCCCGUAAAAUCGGUCUCAGUCCGGAUUGGAGUCUGCAACUCGACUCCAUGAAGUUGGAAUCGCUAGUAAUCGUGGAUCAGCAUGCCACGGUGAAUACGUUCCCGGGCCUU